AGUAUUCCCGCCUGUGACGCGGGGCGGCAACGGCGAAUCCUUUUUUAUCCCGUCGACACUGUACUGGAGUUAGCAAUAGAUUUUGGUAAGGAUAUCGUCAGGUCGUUGUAGUAUAGUGGUAAGUAUUCCCGCCUGUCACGCGGGUGACCCGGGUUCGAUCCUCGGCAACGGCGAUUAUUUUUUAUCCGGUUGAAACUGUGGGCGUGUUGUUAUACAUUUAUUUCUGCCAUCGGAUCAUAAAGUCCUUGUAGUAUGGUGGUGACUGUACCCGCCUGUCACGCUGGUGACCCGGGUUCUUUCCCGGCAAUGGUGAUCUUUUUUAUUAUCCCCUCGAAACUGUGCGCUUGUUUGGUUGCAGAGGGAGGACCACCCCAUAUUUAUAUAUAUAUACAUAUAUAUAAAUAUGUUUUCGUCGUUAGAUAUUCUUAUUCGCAAGUGAAACGAAUUUCUUUCAAUGUCGUUGUUUUGAACUCCUCUACUUGAUUUUGCUUUUAUGCACCUAAUUAUUGCUGCCAUUUAAUUUCUUAGAAACAAAUCAAAUCCAAGUAUUCAUUUUCCUACCAAAUUGAUAGAAUAUUGGUGAAUAACGAAUGAAACUUGGAACGCAUAUCUGUUGUUUGCUGAUUUGUUUCCGUGAAGGCACUACAGUGAGCGAUGAAAAGAGAAAUGAGCGUGGGAUAUCAUGAAGUUCUGCUGUUCCUGCAUAUUAUGGAAUCUUCAUUGCAUCCAUGUCAAGGUCUUCGAAGAAGAUCUAAGUCAUCAUUCCUUGGACUUCUUUGUAGCAUCCCAAUUGACUUGCUGAGUUGGUAACUGGAUUUGGUAGCCUCAGAGACCUGUUUAUUUUUGUUUAGCUAUUCAUUUUGUGUUCUGAUAAGACAUUCUUUUUGUUUGUUAUCUGUGUAUAUAUAAUGGUCAACUAGCAUAAGCCAUAUGGGUCUAGGUCAUAUCCAUGAAUUGAUAUUUGUGGGUUACCACUUCUUUUCAAAAUUAAUAAAUUCUCAUUGACUUGC